rnacentral:rRNA from 1 species
UACGUAGGGUGCAAGCGUUGUCCGGAAUUAUUGGGCGUAAAGCGUGCGCAGGCGGCUUUGCAAGACAGAUGUGAAAUCCCCGGGCUUAACCUGGGAACUGCAUUUGUGACUGCAUGGCUGGAGUGCGGCAGAGGGGGAUGGAAUUCCGCGUGUAGCAGUGAAAUGCGUAGAUAUGCGGAGGAACACCGAUGGCGAAGGCAAUCCCCUGGGCCUGCACUGACGCUGAGGAGCGAAAGCGUGGGUAGCAAACAGG